rnacentral:rRNA from 1 species
AAUAGCUCCUGGAACGGGUGGUAAUGCCGGAUGCUCCGACUCCUCGCAUGGGGUGUCGGGAAAGAUUUCAUCGGUAUGGGAUGGGGUCGCGUCCUAUCAGGUAGUCGGCGGGGUAACGGCCCACCGAGCCUACGACGGGUAGCCGGCCUGAGAGGGCGACCGGCCACAUUGGGACUGAGAUACGGCCCAGACUCCUACGGGAGGCAGCAGUGGGGAAUAUUGCACAAUGGGCGCAAGCCUGAUGCAGCGACGCCGCGUGCGGGAUGACGGCCUUCGGGUUGUAAACCGCUUUUGAUCGGGAGCAAGCCAGUUCGGGUGAGUGUACCUUUCGAAUAAGCACCGGCUAACUACGUGCCAGCAGCCGCGGUAAUACGUAGGGUGCAAGCGUUAUCCGGAAUUAUUGGGCGUAAAGGGCUCGUAGGCGGUUCGUCGCGUCCGGUGUGAAGGUCCAUCGCUUAACGGUGGAUCUGCGCCGGGUACGGGCGGGCUGGAGUGCGGUAGGGGAGACUGGAAUUCCCGGUGUAACGGUGGAAUGUGUAGAUAUCGGGAAGAACACCAAUGGCGAAGGCAGGUCUCUGGGCCGUUACUGACGCUGAGGAGCGAAAGCGUGGGGAGCGAACAGGAUUAGAUACCCUGGCAGUCCACGCCGUAAACGGUGGAUGCUGGAUGUGGGGCCCGUUCCACGGGUUCCGUGUCGGAGCUAACGCGUUAAGCAUCCCGCCUGGGGAGUACGGCCGCAAGGCUAAAACUCAAAGAAAUUGACGGGGGCCCGCACAAGCGGCGGAGCAUGCGGAUUAAUUCGAUGCAACGCGAAGAACCUUACCUGGGCUUGACAUGUUCCCGACAGCCGUAGAGAUAUGGCCUCCCUUCGGGGCGGGUUCACAGGUGGUGCAUGGCCGUCGUCAGCUCGUGUCGUGAGAUGUUGGGUUAAGUCCCGCAACGAGCGCAACCCUCGCCCUGUGUUGCCAGCACGUCAUGGUGGGAACUCACGGGGGACCGCCGGGGUCAACUCGGAGGAAGGUGGGGAUGACGUCAGAUCAUCAUGCCCCUUACGUCCAGGGCUUCACGCAUGCUACAAUGGCCGGUACAACGGGAUGCGACACGGCGACGUGGAGCGGAUCCCUGAAAACCGGUCUCAGUUCGGAUUGGAGUCUGCAACCCGACUCCAUGAAGGCGGAGUCGCUAGUAAUCGCGGAUCAGCAACGCCGCGGUGAAUGCGUUCCCGGGCCUUGUACACACCGCCCGUCAAGUCAUGAAA